AUUGAACGCUGGCGGCAGGCCUAACACAUGCAAGUCGAGCGGAUGAAGGGAGCUUGCUCCUGGAUUCAGCGGCGGACGGGUGAGUAAUGCCUAGGAAUCUGCCUGGUAGUGGGGGAUAACGCCCGGAAACGGGCGCUAAUACCGCAUACGUCCUGAGGGAGAAAGUGGGGGAUCUUCGGUCCUCACGCUAUCAGAUGAGCCUACGUCGGAUUAGCUAGUUGGUGGGGUAAAGGCCUACUAAGGCGACGAUCCGUAACUGGUCUGAGAGGAUGAUCAGUCACACUGGAACUUAGACACGUUCCCGACUCCUACGGGAGGCACCAGUGGGGAAUAUUGGACAAUGGGCGAAAGCCUGAUCCAGCCAAGCCGCGUGUGUGAAGAAGGUCUUCGGAUUGUAAAGCACUUUAAGUUGGGAGGAAGGGCAGUAAGUUAAUACCUUGCUGUUUUGACGUUACCAACAGAAUAAGCACCGGCUAACUUCGUG
rnacentral:rRNA from 1 species